CAAUAGCGUAUAUUUAAGUUGCUGCAGUUAAAAAGCUCGUAGUUGGAUUUCGGGUGGGAAUGGCCGGUCCGCCGUUUCGGUGUGCACUUGCUACGCCCACCUUGCUGCCGGGGACGUGCUCUUGAGUUCACGCUCGGGACACGGAGUCGGCGAGGUUACUUUGAGUAAAUUAGUGUGUUCAAAGCAGGCCUACGCUCUGAAUACAUUAGCAUGGAAUAACACGAUAGGACUCUGGCCUAUCUUGUUGGUCUGUAGGACCGGAGUAAUGAUUAAGAGGGACAGUCGGGGGCAUUCGUAUUUCAUUGUCAGAGGUGAAAUUCUUGGAUUUAUGAAAGACGAACUACUGCGAAAGCAUUUGCCAAGGAUGUUUUCAUUAA
rnacentral:rRNA from 1 species